rnacentral:rRNA from 1 species
AUUGAACGCUGGCGGCAUGCCUUACACAUGCAAGUCGAACGGUAACGGGCCUUCGGGUGCCGACGAGUGGUGAACGGGUGAGUAAUACAUCGGAACGUGUCCGAUCGUGGUGGAUAACGGGGCGAAACCUUUGCUAAUACCGCAUACGAUCUACGGUUGAAGGCAGGGGACCGCAAGGCCUUGCGCGGACUUUGCGGCCGAUGGCAGAUUAGGUAGUUGGUGGGAUAAAAGCUUACCAAGCCGACGAUCUGUAGCUGGUCUGAGAGGAUGAUCAGCCACACUGGAACUGAGACACGGCCCAGACUCCUACGGGAGGCAGCAGUGGGGAAUUUUGGACAAUGGGCGAAAGCCUGAUCCAGCCAUGCCGCGUGCAGGAUGAAGGCCUUCGGGUUGUAAACUGCUUUUGUACGGAACGAAAAGCCUUCUUUUAAUACAGGAGGGUCAUGACGGUACCGUAAGAAUAAGCACCGGCUAACUACGUG